rnacentral:rRNA from 1 species
CAGUCGCCACGGUAAUACGAAGGGGGCUAGCGUUGCUCGGAAUUACUGGGCGUAAAGGGAGCGUAGGCGGACAUUUAAGUCAGGGGUGAAAUCCCGGGGCUCAACCUCGGAAUUGCCUUUGAUACUGGGUGUCUUGAGUAUGAGAGAGGUAUGUGGAACUCCGAGUGUAGAGGUGAAAUUCGUAGAUAUUCGGAAGAACACCAGUGGCGAAGGCGACAUACUGGCUCAUUACUGACGCUGAGGCUCGAAAGCGUGGGGAGCAAACAGGAUUAGAUACCCCCGUAGUCCCUGUCUCUUAUAC